rnacentral:rRNA from 1 species
AUGAUGUCCAAAGCUGGCGCCGGAUCGAAGAUAAAGAUUGACUGGUCCAAGGAGGGGCACCGCCGGUGCGUUAUGUCCUGCCUUGUCAAAGCCACUUACGUGAUGGAGAACGACAUACUCGGCCGAAGGUUAUACAAUAAUGAUGGGCUGGCGCCAGCGUGGUGGGAGAGCUUCGGUUUCCGUUUGGUGGAAACGUUUGUUGACGACUCGAAUCCGAACGACAAGAUGAUCUUCGGCGCCACCUUCGAGCUCAUGGCACUGAGCCGGCACCGGUCCGCCCCACGCUACGUGGUUGCCUUCCGAGGCACCAUGCUAGGUCACUACAAGAGGGCUCAAGAGCUGAUGCAGGACUGCAAAGUCAUAUUCAACGAACUGCGCGGCAGCAAGCGGUUCGAGAUCGCGCACCCCAAGGUCCACCAGCUGAUCGGCAGGGACGCCAGCGGCGUCUGGCUCACGGGGCAUUCCCUCGGCGCGUCGCUGGCGCUGGACAUAGGGCGGGACCUGAUGGAGAUCGAGGGGCACAACAUCCGGACCUUCCUCUUCAACCCGCCGCACGUGUCGGCGGCGGCGCCGAUCGACAAGGUCCUCAAGGGGGACGCCAAGACCGGGCUCUACACCACGAGCUUCAUGCUCAAGUUCGCGCUCGGCCAGGUGAUGGGCUCGUACCGCAAGCGCACCAAGCGGCUUUUCGAGCGGCUCAACCCGUGGGUGCCGGACAUGUACGUGAACCGUAAGGACAUCAUCAGCAUGGGGCAUAUUGAGUACUUCGAGCAGCGGCAGCAGGUGGCCAAGGGCUUCUCCCGCGUCGCCAAAACCGGGUCGAGACUGUCGUACCGUGAUAUGUUCCACUCCAUGUUCGGCGCCAAGACGCUCAAGCCCCACCUGCUGCCGUCGGCGAGGCUCAACUCCAGCACCGACAGUGACGCGCACAGCCUUCGGCAGUGGUGGAAGCCGGAUAGUCGACUGUCGUUGAGCACCAAGACCUACAGCUACCCACACGGCUAA